UUCUAUACACUUGGCAAUUUGUGAAAGUCUUUGGGAAGCAUGGUGUGGGAAUAUCAGGGUCAACUUGUAUAGGUCAGGAGUUCAAGGGAUACAUCUGGGCUGAAGGUACAGAUUUAAAAACCAUGAGAUUAACAAAUGAAGAUGAAGUGAUCAAGAAAAAAAUUAAAUACCUGGCUCAUGAAACUGUAGAAUUAAUAGAAUACUUUGAGAGCCUGAUUAAAUUAUUACACAUCUUAUGCAUGUAUCAAAAUAUCACAUGUUCCCCAUAAAUAUGUACAAAUAUUAUUUAUUCAAAAAAAAUCUGACUAGCAAGAUAUCAGCCCAAUCGGCCUUGAUGGAGUCUUUUAAAAAUGCUAUUUAUAGUGCAUAAUCAACCUAA
rnacentral:lncRNA from 1 species